UCUGCUUCAAUCCUCCUGAUCUGAAUGAUGGCGGACAAGGUAGAUCCCGCGCAGAAGCUGUAUACCACAAUGCGCCUCUGGGAAUUCCCGGAUCAGUACUUGGUUGAGCCGACUGACGGAUCCUCCGCAUCGAUUCUCGCUGUUAGCCACCUUGAUGGCUCCAUGAAUCUUAUUGAUGAAAUUCCUCAAUGCAACACGGUUCGAGUUCCUAAAAUUCAGACCAUCUAUGGUGUGGUGGGUAUGUUCAAGCUUUUGGCAGG